UUUUUUUUUUUUUUUUAACACUCGAUUCCCAGCACCGACGGGAAACAAGAUGGCGCCCACGUCUUGUUGGAGUGCGUUGCUUGUGCACGGCAGGGCGGAGGCGCGAGCAUGCGCACAGACGACGUGCUGCCUCCGAUUUCCUGUUUAGUGCUUGUGGAAACGCACAAACAUUUGCGAUUCUUAUUACAGUACUUUUCCACGAUAAUUAGGAGCCUUUAAAGGCCCAGUUUGCCCCUGACGUUUGAGAGCACAGUCGAAGCAAGCUCGUGUUUCGUUUUAAAAAUACACUAAACAUUAAAAUGGUUAAUAAUUAAAUUGGACAAAUACACAAGGAACUACUGUAACGUAUACAAUACUAGUAAGCAUAAACUGGGCAAAAACAUAAGUCUCCGGCCUGUGAUAAACAUUUUUGGCUCCAUGUCUCCAUCUAGUGGAUAAAAGCUACAUUGACGUUUCCCCUUGUAAGAGUUUGUUCAAGAACACUGUAUGGUAUCAAUUUUGAAUAUAAGUACAACAAUUUUUAGACUAUAAUAUUGGGCUGUAGAUAAGCUGCUAACGUACUGCAUCCACAUCUAAAUAAGCUCUACAUUACAGAACUACUGCAGUGUGUACAUAGCUAAUGUCUAGUUUCGAAUUUGAUAUCUUCUAUUUCAGUGAUUCUGAGUAUAUUUGAUUAGAAUCAUGAUUUGAAGUAGUAUUUUCCCUAUAUUUAAGGUCAAUGUUAAUAUUCAAACUGUAAUGUAACGGUGGCUUACAAUAAUCUGUAUUUUUUAGGACUAAAACCUGUCUCAUUUUUCAUGAACCUUCGGCCAACUCCGAUGGUGGUACUUGGAGCGCUGAGUAUUUUUUUCAAGUGUUACUUAAAAGUUUGAGAAACACUUCUAUUUUAUAUAUGUUUCCAUUUUAUAAAAAAAACUGUCUCCUUUUUCAUAAACACUGAAUAACUGAACUAAUCAAAUGUAAUAACUAAAAACAUUUGUAUUUGUUUUCAUUUUCUAUUUGAUUGUAUAUAUUUUUUUGCAUUUCUUCACCUUCCUACUUUUGGCCCAGAUUUGGAGUCCUGAGUGACAGCUGCCCCAGACCAGUCUGGGUCACGUUACCUCCUAUAGUGCAGGGGUCGGCACCCUUCAAAACUCAAAGAGCCAUUUCGACCGUGUCCCGCAGAAACGAAAACACCUGGAGGCACAAGAGCCUUUUGACAUCUAAAGAGGAUAACACUGCAUAUAUUGUUGUUGUUGUUUUUUACCUGUAUGUAUAAAAAACUGUGUUGCAUUUAUGAAAUCAAUGAAGUUCUACAGAGAACACACCAUUUUUGUUCUGGAUGUAACAAAACAUUUUGAACUCCUCAUAUUCAUGAAAUUGAAGCCAAACUUAAAUGAUCCAACUGCAGCCAACUAAAAAUUUGCUUUUGUGUUCCGUCAUCAUUUUAUCUCAGGUGGCAACUUGAAUGAAAAAGGACUCUUUCAAGUAACAAUGUCAAAUAUAUCUCUGAAUAAUGGGCAAUUAAAAUAUGUACUUUACCUGGUUAAUGUGAUUUUUGCUCCUGAACCAGCGUCAGCACAUCAGGGCUGCAGACGUCACCUUCAUUUUCACACACAACUGGAAGCUGUCCUCCGUGAGGCGUGAGCAUAGUUCAUGUAGCACAUAGCAUCAAAUGCUCUGUUUUCUUCAGAAACUUUUCUUGCAUUUAUCCAAGGUUUGCCAACUGGGGGUUGAAUAGCUCCAAUCUUGUGAAACUAUUUUUUUUAAUUGUAUUUCCGAAGUCACAGAGAGCCACAGCAGAAGGAUGAAAGAGCCACAUGCGGCUCUGGAGCCACGGGUUGCAGACCCCACGGGCAGUAAGAAGACUGUGUGUGUGUUUGAGUCCUGACUGCACCAAGGCCAGUAAAGAACUUCCUCGGCGACGGUUCGCAUCCGGUUCAAUGAGCAAAUCUUCCGGUGACUGCCAAGCUGUGAUUCGAGUGAGUAGUUUAAACCUUUGUAAACUUGUAACUGAAUGUAUGUACACAAGCUAGAGGCAUAUUUACGACUCUUCGGACCUCCAGUUUGUUUACCGUUACUCUCUACGUCACUGGAAGCCAUUUAGCUAUCGUCAAACAAUAUCAACAAAGCUGGCUAGUGAGCUUAGCACGCCCACACGUAGCACUCAGCCGUCAAGCCCAAUAGAAACAAGGACAGUGUUUGACUUCAAUCUUGUUUUGUGUGUUUUUCCACACUGGAGCUGAUGUCCACAAUGAAAGAGCGGUGCCUCCAGGUCGGCUGCUGGGCGUCGACCGACACCAGGAUCGGGGAGUUUUCGGGCCGACGGCCGACAGACUUCUGGGAAAGGCGGACGGGACGCCAACCUGCAUUUGGACACGUAUGUUAAGCAACAGACAUGAAAUCACAAAGGAAACCAAGUCAAAGUCUGAUGACAUCAGUAACCGUCUCCUCGUCGCUGCCUGGUGAAGUGGUCGGCUGUGUGACGAGAGCGUGGCCCGGUGUGCGGACCUAAGACAACAAGACAUCAGUGAGUCAAAAGUUAAGUCAACCUGUUGUGCAGCAAAUGAUCUUUGACACGAAACCUACCAGCGAGGAAGACGGGCCACUUGUUUUCUGGGCCUGAGAGCACUCGCACGGCUGCGUGUUCCUCUGCAACUCUGGAAGAAAUGUGGAAAAACAAAAAACUGGACCCAAUUGUGAAAUGAAGACAUUUCAAAGCGCGUACCGUCCAGUGGUCAAGGUCUCCCGCUUCUCAGGCUGCUCCAAAAUUUGGCUUCAGCACCUUGUGGAUGAAAGGAAGCAACAAGAAAAACAUUUUUGGUGUGCAGCUCUGCUCCGUAUCGUGAAUGCAGCGUUUCACCUUGUAGGAAAGAUGGCCCCGGAAUGACGAGGAACAUGGAAGUGGACACAUUUGUGGUUAACUGUCGACCGCAACCUUCGGCAGAAGCUGUUUGAGUGUGACGAGAGGAACAGUCUUCGUAUCAAAUGUCUUCUGAAGACUCCACGGUGGUACAGACUUCUCCAGGAGACCUGAACACAACAAGAGAUUAACGGGGAACCAGUCAAGCUGCUGUUUAGGUGGAGGAGCUUGCUGGCCGAGUCCCCGAUGGCACUUGGACUGGAAGCUGACCUGCAUAUGGAGUCAAAGGAAAAAGCAGGCGAGGGCACUUCAAACUUAAAUUUGCUGAGCUUGUUUUGUAGCUUAAGUCACCUCUCAACAUGUUGGACAGAAAGUUGACCAUGACGCCAUGUUUCCACCACCUACAACAAGAAACCAAGUAUUUGGAUUCAUCAAGUCUGUCAUUGCAAAAGGUUCCAACCUUGAUUGAAAUUUACUUCAGGAGAUCAGGUUCUCCAGGGAUCCUUCAGCGCCACCUGGUGGACGUGCACAUGAAGAACAUCCAAGUGUCCAGGACCAAGAAGCUCCCAAUGACUUCAAACAAGAGGCUAUCAUGACUGCAGCCAAAACGCAUCAAGAAAGGACAGUGCUGGAAAGUCAUCUCAGGUAGACUGGAACCUUCUGCUUGAACAAGAACAGUCUGUUUCAAACGACUCAGACCUUCUGAGUGGACUGGUGGCGUGAGACUUCUCCAGGAGAUCUGAAACCAAGAGAUGAACGAGGGACCAGUGAAGCUGCUGUUUAGUAACUUUAUUAGCAUGUGUCAACAUUAAAGAUUAAGGCAGCGUCGUUGACCUUCUGCACAUUGUGGAACUCUUCUCUUUGCCCAGCAGGUGGAGGAUCUUGGUAGCAGAGUCCCCCGAUGGCACUUUGACUGGAAGCCGACCUGCAUGUGGAGUCAAAAAGAAAAAGCAGGUCCCAUACUUAGAGAUCUACUUCACCAGUUGAUCCAUGAUCAGGUUCUCCAGAAUUCUUCGGCACCACCUGGUGGACGUGAGCAAGUCCCAAGCUUAGAGUUCCACUUCACCUUGACCACUACUACUGCAACAAGAACCAUCCUCGUAUCAAAUGACUGAAUCCUUCAGAGUGGACUGGUGGCGCAGAGACUUCUCCGGGAGACCUGAACACAACGAGAUGAACGAGGGACCAGCCAAGCUCAUAUUUAGAUCUUGGUGGCCAAGUCCCCGAUGGCACUUGGACUGGAAGCAGACCUGCAUGUGGAGUCAAAGAAAAAGCAGGUCCCAAGCUUAAAGUUCCACUUCACCACUACUACUGCAACAAGAACCAUCCUCGUAUCAAACGACUGAAGCCUUCAGAGUGGACUGGUGGCGCAGAGACUUCUCCGGGAGACCUGAACACAACGAGAUGAACGAGGGACCAGCCAAGCUCAUAUUUAGAUCUUGGUGGCCGAGUCCCCGAUGGCACUUGGACUGGAAGCCGACCUGCAUGUGGAGUCAUAGAAAAAGCAGGUCCCAAGCUUAGAGAUCUACUUCACCAGUUGAUCCAUGAUCAGGUUCUCCAGAAUUCUUCGGCACCACCUGGUGGACGUGAGCAGGUCCCAAGCUUAGAGUUCCACUUCACCUUUAGCUUGACCACUACUACUGCAACAAGAACCAUCCUCGUAUCAAAUGACUGAAGCCUUCAGAGUGGACUGGUGGCGCAGAGACUUCUCCGGGAGACCUGAACACAACGAGAUGAACGAGGGACCAGCCAAGCUCCUAUUUAGUGGAGGAUCUUGGUAGCAGAGUCCCCCGAUGGCACUUUGAAUGGAAGCCGACCUGCAUGAAGAGUCAAAAAGAAAAAGCAGGUGAGGGUCCCAAGCUUAGAGAUCUACUUCACCAGUUGAUCCAUGAUCAGGUUCUCCACAAUUCUUCGGCACCACCUGGUGGACGUGAGCAGCAAGAACAUGCUACUGUCCAGGAGCGAGAAGAACAAAACCCAAAGGUUACUGCUGGAAAGUCAUCUCAGGUGUCCUUACCCUCCUUCAGUCCAUCAGAUUCUUCCUGGGUUGAUACAAAAGCACCACAACAUUAAACGUUAACCCCAACAUUUGGUGUUGCCAUCGAGUGAGUGUUCCCACCUGAACUGUGAUGACGUCGCUGGAGGCUGCCUGGUCAGCUCGUGCUUAAAGAAAUGAGUCACUUUUGUUUUUUUACAUGUAUGAAAGUUUGUCUCACCAGUGAGGCGAGCAGGGCGCAGCCGGACGCCUCGUCAGCGACGGCCUGAAAGACACAACAACACGGUUAGCGUUCGACGUCUCCCAAUUCAGCACCAUGAGCCAGUUUGACUUCGCAACGUGACAAUUGAGCGAGGCGUUUAUCAGUAGACCCACAAAAGGCUCAAGAGGCCUGCCCCAAAAGUCACAGGAAGUCAGCCAUUUUGUUGAAGAUUUGAACCUGUAAUCAGAAAUGAGAAUUAACCCAAAGACAAUUACUUGAUUUAUUCUGUUUAAUAAAGGAUAUGCUGUGUAGAGAAACAGGAAUUCACUCAAUUUGGCCAUUCGGUUGAAGAUUCAAACCUAUGAACAGAAAGGAGAAACGGAUGAAUAAUUCUGUUUCAUUUAAAAUAAAAAAUUAAAGUCAGCCAUUUUGGACUCAAUUUCAAGAUGUGAAAAAAAAAAAAAAAAAAACACACUUUAAUAUAAUUAUACUUCAUUCAGUUGUGAAUCUGUACAAGUUGUGUACUUACCUCCUGCAAAACGGCACUUUUGUCCAAAUGCUGGGAAAGUUUGAGCCAAAACUUUAAUUAUAAAAAGUGCCAACAAUUCAAAGUACAUGUACAUCAUUAGUGCAUGUACUAAAUUAUAAAUUAAACUCUCGUAAAUUCCCCGUUAUUGUUUAGUUUACUUACUGUGUGCAUUCAUUUAUCAGCAUAUACGCCAGAUAAAUGCAUUUUGGUCUAGUUUAAGCUCGCAGGAGACGUUAAAUGCCUCCGAAAGCUCAAAGGUUUUAGCUAGCAUGCUAGCAAGAUGUUAGCACCCUGAAAAGAGAGACUUGGUGUUAAUUUGACUUGCUUUGACAUGUAUUGGUCACUUCGAAAUGUUCAAAGUGAGCAAAAUGCAGCGAAAUUUGCGAAGCUUAAGAAGAGAGUGUGAGCACUUUGUUACCUUGUCAAAGUUUUGGGCGAUCUUGUGGAAACGCCGGUGACGGACAUCUGGCAAAGGAGAACGAGUCUCUCAUUUGGCCCGACUUAAAUAGGUUGACGGUGAUGACGCAAUAAUUGGAAAAAAAAAAACUAUCACAGGAAAGUAUAACAAAUGUGUGUUCCAUUGAAAAAGCAAACAGCUAAAUAUAUUGGCUUAAACAGAGCAAACUGGCAGCAGGGGGGUUCGAACCUAGACCGCCUGCUUCGCAGUUCUGGUCGUAACGCACUAGGCUAGAUUCCACUGACGAUGUCCGGUAUGUUCAUUGGUAUUUGUCAGAUAUUUUGGCACGAAGCGUGCUCAUGGAUUUACUCAUCGACGAAUACAAACAAACGCCAUGCAAACGAUUGACCAAAACUGGUCUAAAGGUUUAAUGCUUUGCCUGCUGCCCAGGAGACCCUGGUUCGAGCCUCCUUUCUGCUCCAUGUAUCUAUAUCUAUCUAUACUGAAGUGGAGGAGAAGGUGGGGAUUGAACCUGGGUCACCAAAACCCGAGGUAAAGUUUUAGACCAUUCGCCCAAUUCGGCUGAAAAUUCAGAAAUUUUUUUGGUUGUACUUAUGGUGUUCGAACACCGGUGUCGUCGCUCAUAUAAAUAGGUAGAAAUCGCCAAUGGCUGUUGGAUGGAAAAUAGCUCAGUGGUUUGUGUCACUGACUGUAGUUGUGGUGACUCGUGUUCGAUCCUUCCUUUGUCCACCAUUUAUAUCUCUCCACAAUAUUUGGUAAUAAGUGGAGUUCAGAGUGGGCAUCGAACCCGGGACGCCCGUACCGGCGGUAAAGUUUUAGACCAUUCGGCCAAUGCGACUGAAAAUGUAAGAAUUUUUUGGUUGUAUUUAUCAUGUCUGAGCAUCGUUGCCGUCGCUAAGACAUUAAUAUGUACGAACCACCUGUGCUUGUCAACUGCAACAUAGUCCAGUGGUUUGACUCACUGACUAUGAUGUUGGUGACUCGUGUUCGAUCCUUCCUUUGUCCACCAUUUAUAUCUCUCCACAAUAUUUGUUAAUAAGUACAGUUCAGAGUGGGGAUCGAACCCGGGACGCCCGAACCGGAGGUAAAGUUUUAGACCAUUCGCCAAUGCGACUGAAAAUGUAAGAAUUUUUUGGUUGUAUUUAUUACAUCUGAGCACAGUUGACGUCGCUAAGACAUUAAUAUGUACAAACCACCUGAGUUUGUCAACUGGAACAUAGCCCAGAGGUUUGGUCACUGACUACAAUACAAGUGACUCGUGUUCGAAUCUUCCUUUGUCCACCAUUUAUAUCUCUCCACAAUAAUUGUUAAUAAGUGGAGUUCAGAGUGGGCAUCGAACCCGGGACGCCCGAACCGGAGGUAAAGUUUUAGACCAUUGGCCAAUUCGACUGAAAAUGUAAGAAUUUUUUGGUUGUAUUUAUGAUGUCUGAGCAUCGUUGCCGUCGCUAAGACAUUAAUAUGUACGAACCACCUGUGCUUGUCAACUGCAACAUAGUCCAGUGGUUUGACUCACUGACUAUAAUGCUGGUGACUCGUGUUCGAUCCUUCCUUUGUCCACCAUUUAUAUCUCUCCACAAUAUUUGUUAAUAAGUAGAGUUCAGAGUGGGGAUCGAACCCGGGACGCCCGAACCGGAGGUAAAGUUUUAGACCAUUGGCCAAUUCGACUGAAAAUGUAAGAAUUUUUUGGUUGUAUUUAUGAUGUCUGAGCAUCGUUGCCGUCGCUCAGACAUUAAUAUGUACAAACCACCUGAGUUUGUCAACUGGAACAUAGCCCAGUGGUUUGGGUCACUGACUACAAUACAAGUGACUCGUGUUCGAAUCUUCCUUUGUCCACCAUUUAUAUCUCUCCACAAUAAUUGUUAAUAAGUGGAGUUCAGAGUGGGCAUCGAACCCGGGACGCCCGAACCGGAGGUAAAGUUUUAGACCAUUGGCCAAUUCGACUGAAAAUGUAAGAAUUUUUUGGUUGUAUUUAUCAUGUCUGAGCAUCGUUGCCGUCGCUAAGACAUUAAUAUGUACAAACCACCUGAGCUUGUCAACUGCAACAUAGUCCAGUGGUUUGACUCACUGACUAUAAUGCUGGUGACUCGUGUUCGAGCCUUCCUUUGUCCACCAUUUAUAUCUCUCCACAAUAUUUGUUAAUAAGUGGAGUUCAGAGUGGGCAUCGAACCCGGGACGCCCGAACCGGAGGUAAAGUUUUAGACCAUUCGCCAAUGCGACUGAAAAUUUAAGAAUUUUUUGGUUGUAUUUAUUACGUCUGAGCACCGUUGCCGUCGCUAAGACAUUAAUAUGUACGAACCACCUGAGCUUGUCAACUGCAACAUAGUCCAGUGGUUUGGGUCAUUGACUAUAAUGCUGGUGACUCGUGUUCGAUCCUUCCUUUGUCCACCAUUUAUAUCUCUCCACAGUAUUUGUUAAUAAGUGGAGUUCAGAAUCGGGAUCGAACCCGGGAUGCCCGAACCGGAGGUAAAGUUUUAGACCACUCGACCAUUUUAUCGGAGAGCUUUUGGAAUUUAGUGUUUUGUUUAUUGGUUCGUAGGCUAAAUAUAUACCCAAAAUGCUCACAAAGUAAGUCCAGUGGAUAAUGUUCUCGACUCCGAGUCUGGUGGCACGAAUUUGACCCUCACUUUGUCCUUCAUUUAUGGCCCUUCACAAAUGUGAUUCAUAAAUGGAGUGCACAGGGGGACUCAAACCCGAUUCACUGGAACCUGAGGCAAAGUUUUAGACCGUUCGACUAUAUCUUUGGAGCAUUUUUUAGGUUUGUAUCUGGGCUCAGGUCAUGCAGGGCAAGCCGCUAUUUGCCUGCAGUUACAGGAAGAAACAACCAACUGACAGAGGUGCUUGGCAUCACUCUUGAAGAGGUCAACCUCCACCCGACGGAGAGCUUUCAGAAUUUUGGGAUGCAUUUAUGGUUUGUCGUCCAAAUGUUGACUGAUGAGUCCCUUAACAUUCCACCUCAACUUUUUGGAUGACCCCCCCACACGAGCAAGCACCAAGCACUUCUGCUAGGUUUCAAAAUGACAAUGUGUGACUGUCGUGUUGGACUUUGUUUAUUGUUGAUCAUGAAUAAAUUCAUUUCAAAUUCACAACAAACAGAAAUCAGAAGAGUCUUGUCUGCAUUAGUCUACAACAAUCAAAUUCAUACAAUGACAUAGUAUUUCAAGAUGCUUGAUUGAGUUGUGGGGUCUCUCCAGCUCCAGGUGGUCAAAAUCCUGGUCUGACAGCUACAGGGUCUUGAGAGCUUGCACACACACACUAACAACAAACAAAAUUAAUCAAGUCUUUUCAACAGGUCCUAAGCUUGGAGAGCUACAGCAGUUGAUCCAUGAUCAGGUGCUCCAUGAAUUCUUCGUUCCCACCUGGUGGACAUGAGCAGCAAGAACAUGCUACUGUCCGGGAGCGAGAAGUCUCCGGGAAGUCAGGAGGCUGUGGUGACUCACACAAAAAUAAAUAGAAAGAAAACUCACAAAAAAAAUCCCAGUUCUCUUAACUGGACUGGAACCUUCUGCGACAACAGACUUCUCCAGGACACAUGAAAACAAGAUGAGUGAGGGACCAGUCAAGCUGCCGUUUACACGUGCAGGAUCUUACUGGCCGAGCCCCCGAUGGCACUUGGACAGGAAGCUGACCUGCAUGUGGAGUCAAAGAAAAAGCAGGAAGUUGAUCAUGACGCCAUGUUUCCACCACCUGGAACAAGAAAUGUGAGGCGAGCAGGGCGCAGCCGGACGCCUCGUCAGCGACGGCCUGAAAGACACGACAACACGGUUAGCGUUCGACGUCUCCCAAUUCAGCCCCACGAGCCAGUUUGACUUCCUAACGUAACGUGAGGGGUGCUUCAAACUUAAAUUUGCUGAGCUUGUUUUGUAUUACGUCACCUCUCAACAUGUUGGACAGGAAGUUGAUCAUGACG